CACUGACCUAGGCUCUCCACCAAGCCCCAUCCCACCUCCAGGUCGUCCACCCACCUCAGGUCCAUAAGACUAGCAAGAAACCCUUUCAUCUUCUUCCUUUUUUCUUUCUCCCUUGCUUGUUCUUUUCUUUCUUGCAAGCUGAGCUCCCAGUUCACUUCUUUCCAUCAAAUCUCCUCCAAACACUUGAGAUCCAUCCCUGCAUGUCACACCACAGCAAUCUCAAGUAUCCAAGCCUCCCAUCCAUCCAAAUAUCUUGCACAUGCAUGGGUUCGUGAGGGAGAUCGGGAAGAAAAUAGGUGGAGCUUGCUGCUGGUUGCAGCAACAAAACAACAACCAUGUUUUUCCUCCACUUGGUCAUUGAUGCAAGAUUUUAGAGCAUAGAACAGUUGCAACUCGUUUCUCUCCACUCCGACCAUUACAACCCCCAUCCCCCUCAGUUUACUCAGAUUCGGAGAAUUCGGAGUAUGUGGAGCAAGACUCUGAGGUUGAGUGUGUUUCCACGCAGCAGCAAGG